rnacentral:sRNA from 1 species
GCCGUACCGAGACCGAUCCGUUCCCCCGGAACGGGCCGGACCCGGGGCGGCUUGGGGUGAAGCCGGGACGGAUCCGUCCGCCCCGGCCGGGCAACUCACUGACCCGAACCCGACAGCUCACCUCGCAGGCGUCCGGUGAGAAGGAUC